rnacentral:rRNA from 1 species
UACAGAGGUCCCAAGCGUUGUUCGGAUUCACUGGGCGUAAAGGGUGCGUAGGCGGUCGGAUAAGUCUGACGUGAAAUCUCCGGGCCUAACCCGGAAACUGCGUUGGAAACUAUCUGGCUAGAGGAAUGGAGGGGAGACUGGAAUACUUGGUGUAGCAGUGAAAUGCGUAGAUAUCAAGUGGAACACCAGUGGCGAAGGCGGCCUUCUGGACCAGCACUGACACUCAAGCACGAAAGCGUGGGGAGCAAACAGG